AGCAGCCGCGGUAAUUCCAGCUCCAAUAGCGUAUAUUAAAGUUGUUGCAGUUAAAAGCUCGUAGUUGAAUUUCGGAAUCAGUACGCUGGUCGUGCCUUAGGUAUGCACUGGUGUCACUGGUUUCUCCCUUCUGACGAACCGACAUGCCAUUCACUUGGUGUGGCGGGAAAUCAGGACUGUUACUUUGAAAAAUUGAGUGUUUAAAGCAGGCUCACGCUUGAAUACAUUAGCAUGGAAUAAUGAAAUAGGACGUUGAUCUUAUUUUGUUGGUUUCCAGGAUUGACGUAAUGAUUAAUAGGGAUAGUUGGGGGCAUUAGUAUUCAAUUGUCAGAGGUGAAAUUCUUGGAUUUAUUGAAGACUAACUACUGCGAAAGCAUUUGCCAAGGAUGUUUCAUUAAUCAA
rnacentral:rRNA from 1 species